CUACGGGUCGCAGCAGUGAGGAAUAUUGGUCAAUGGGCGCAAGCCUGAACCAGCCACUCCGCGUGUAGGAUGACUGCCCUAUGGGUUGUAAACUACUUUUAUACAGGAAGAAACCUCCAUACGUGUAUGGAGCUGACUGUACUGUAAGAAUAAGCAUCGGCUAACUCCGUGCCAGCAGCCGCGGUAAUACGGAGGAUGCAAGCGUUAUCCGGAUUUAUUAGGUCUGAAGGGUGCGUAGGCGGAUAUUUAAGUCAGUGGUGAAAUCCUACAGCUUAACUGUAGAACUGCCAUUGAUACUGGAUAUCUUGAGUUUAGUUGAGGUAAGCGGAAUGUGUAGUGUAGCGGUGAAAUGCUUAGAUAUUACACAGAACACCGAUUGCGAAGGCAGCUUACUAAGCUAACACUGACGCUGAGGCACGAAAGCGUGGGGAGCGAACAGGAUUAGAUACCCUAGUAGUC
rnacentral:rRNA from 1 species